UUGGAGAGGCCGCGGGAGACGUGGUGUCGCUGCCGGUUCGCUCUCCCUUGCGCUAGGCUUGGUGGGAAGGCCUGUUCUAGAGUCCGCGCUUUUCCUCGUCGCCAUGUCGGGAGGUGGCGUGAUUCGUGGCCCGGCAGGGAACAACGAUUGUCGCAUCUACGUGGGUAACUUACCUCCAGAUAUCCGAACCAAGGACAUUGAGGACGUGUUCUACAAAUACGGUGCUAUCCGCGACAUCGAUCUCAAGAAUCGCCGCGGAGGACCGCCCUUCGCCUUCGUUGAGUUCGAGGACCCGCGAGAUGCGGAAGACGCGGUGUACGGUCGCGACGGCUAUGAUUACGAUGGAUACCGUCUGCGGGUGGAGUUUCCUCGAAGCGGCCGUGGUACAGGCCGAGGCGGCGGCGGGGGUGGAGGUGGCGGAGCUCCCCGAGGCCGCUAUGGCCCCCCUUCCAGGCGAUCUGAAAACAGAGUGGUUGUCUCUGGACUGCCUCCAAGUGGAAGCUGGCAGGAUUUGAAGGAUCACAUGCGUGAAGCAGGUGAUGUAUGUUAUGCUGAUGUUUACCGAGAUGGCACUGGUGUCGUGGAGUUUGUACGGAAAGAAGAUAUGACCUAUGCAGUUCGAAAACUGGAUAACACUAAGUUUAGAUCUCAUGAGGGAGAAACUGCCUACAUCCGGGUUAAAGUUGAUGGGCCCAGAAGUCCAAGUUAUGGAAGAUCUCGAUCUCGAAGCCGUAGUCGUAGCAGAAGCCGUAGCAGAAGCAACAGCAGGAGUCGCAGUUACUCCCCAAGGAGAAGCAGAGGAUCACCACGCUAUUCUCCCCGUCAUAGCAGAUCUCGCUCUCACAUAUCUGAAGAGAUGGAUUAAGAAUGCUUUGGAUUAAGGAUUGUGGAGCACAUUUCAAUCAUUUUAGGAUUGUCAAAAGGAGGAUUGAGGAGGAUCAGAUCAAUAAUGGAGGCAAUGGUAUGACUCCAAGUGCUAUUGUCACAGAUGAAAUUGGCAGUAUUGACCUUAUACUAAAAAAGCAAGGGUUAAAGAUUAUUAUAUGCACCUAUCUUAAAACACUUGCAAACAUCUUAUGCAGUUACCUUAGCUACAAUUGCUUUGCUCUUUAAACCUUGGCAAUUGUGGCAAAAUUACAGCGCCCAUUUUGUAACAAUUUAUUUUGCUCCCUUCCCCCCCUCUUUUGUUUUAAUAGGGACUAAUGUGGGAAGAGCUGGCUAAUUUGUCACAGUGCUUAGUUACAACUGUUAAUGUGUGACCUGCUGUUGGUGUACAUGUGGGUACAGGGUGUCUUUAAUUCCAACCAGAUAGAGUAUAAUAUCAAUACUGCUAAAUCUGCAUGUCCUCUGUGUGACUGAUAUAGCGUUGCUAUUUCAUUUUUUUAAGACAAAAUGAAAGCAAAUUAUAGAAUUUCAACGUAUUGGUGUAGAUAAUCUAGAUGGGAAUACUUCUAAGUCUCGCCUUCCCCUUUAAACUAAUAUUCAUAAUUGACUCAUGUUUAAAAUACCUUAAUUUACAAAUUAAAUUGCAAAUGGGAGCAUUAGAUUUAGUUUAGGCUUAGGGUCGGUAACAAUACCAGUAAACUUCAACUACAUAAUUUUUGCGACCACAAAACCUGUAAUACGCUGUACAGUAACAAGUGUUGGCAUUAUCAGUUGAACUGUAAAUAUAAAAUGCUUCUUCCAAUUAGUCUCUGAUGAUUAAGUUUCUAAAAUUUAUCUGAACACCAUUCAGAAACUUGUUUUGGGGAAUUUGAUAGUUAUUGAUGUACAUCUGUUAAACUGAUGACAGACAUAACUCAUCAUUCCCCAGAAACCUUUUUUGAUUACAGUAUCUAACAUUUUGCCUCCUCUUUUUUGGUUUUGCUGGUUAUAAAGGUUUGGAUUGGAGAGGGCUCACUGGAUCCCAAUCCUUGGAGCUGGAUCAUUGGAUUCAAAUCAUAAUGUGGAUAGGAUAGGGAGGAUCAAUUACAAGGAUUCAUGGAGCGGGAUCAGAUUACCAGGAACAUAGGAGUGGAUUCCUGCCCCAACCAAACCGCAUUCGUGUGGAUUUUUUUUUUUUUUUUAUUCAACUUAAUUGGCUAUUCCAAAGAUUUUUUUUUUCUCUAUUUUUGACGAUUGGAGCCCUUAAGAUGCACGAUGGAAUUGUGUUUUGCAUUUUUGGUAAAAGGAGCAAAGCGAGGACCUGGAGAUAAACGCUGGAGCAAUCUCCUUGGAAGGAUUCAGCACGAGUAGAUGAUUGAACAACCCAUCUUGCUGUUCAGUCCACAUCCUGGAAACAAAAGGUUUUGAAUAGAGCUUAACUUGAGUACUGAGCUUAUAUAAACCAGAAAAGUAUUUCUAGAUCUUGGGAGAAAAUACUGAAGAUGUGGAUCUGCCUGUUUCUGCAGCCUUGUACACCUUGAGGUAUGGAAUGGUAAGGCCAGGAGUGUAAGAAUUGGGUGCCGGAGUAGAUGUGCUGCAAAAAAAAGUCUUGGCAUGAAAUUGACCAUAUACGGAAAAAGGAAUAUACUUUUAGAAACCUUUAGUUUUUAUGGUGUGAAACAGUUUCUGGAGUGAUCUUAAUCUCAGCAUUACUAAGGUUUGUAAUUUUUAAUGUGUCUUUAAGAACCUGCUUGUCAAGUUGGCCUUUAAUAUUCUAUUUUCUAGGCUUUGCUUAAGUAGGCAUGGAGUAUCUUGUGAUUAAAAAGUCAGUACACAUUUUAUGUGUUUCCUUAGUGACGUUUUAUUUUAAGCUGAAAAUUAUUGAGGGGUUAGUACUGUGAGCAUUUGUUGUUCAUAUCAUUUCCCUCCCCCAACUUUACAUUGCCCAAAUGUAAAGGACACAAACUUCAACUUUGCCUCCUGAUUUAAGUUAUCGCUAAGAAUACUGUAUUGAAGUUUCUUGGGCCCACUUGAUCGAGUCAAGAAAACCAGUAUGGUGCACUUGCCUUAAACUGUUAACGUUAGAAACUUCUGCUUUGAAGAAUAAUACACAGAAGAGGACAAAUAAAGGUAUUUUCCCAGGAGAGAAAUAAGGUUACACGGUAGAGAUUAUUCUGACUGCUGAACAUUUUACACAGAGACUGCAGAAGGUGGUUGCUGACUAGGAGCCUUCCUACAAAUUGGAUUGAGUACUGGAGCCACACUAGAUUGAGUGUGCCUCCUUAUUCCUAAUAGUAAUUCUGAUGUCUCCUUAAUUUAGCUUGUGAGCAAGCACUCAGUCUAAAAAUGUACAAAAGAAAAUCCACAAUGCUGUAAAAAAAGCUAAACUUGGAUUUACUUUUUUUUUUUUUAAGAUUUUACUUUUUAGAGAGAAGGGAAGGAGAAAGAGAGAGAAACAUCAAUGUGUGGUUGCCUCUCACACCCCCUACUGAGGAUCUGGCCUACAACCCAGGCAUGUGCCCUGGCAGGGAAUCCAACUGGCGACCUUUGGUUUGCAGGCCAGCACUCAAUCCACGCACCAGUCAGGGCUAAACUUGCAUGUUAAAGGGUCAAAAGGCAUGGAUGAAUCGUACCCUAUAUAGGGUGCUGGAUAUCAGGGGAGUCUUUCAUGUAUUUUAAGUUUGGAAUAAACAUUCACAUUGCUGUAGAUAUUAAGGCAUAAUACUUAGAAAUGGACUGCUACAUCAAACAAAAGAUAACCUACACCCUUUAAAUGGCACUUGUCGUGGGCUGAAUCUCACCUUUAGAGUGGCAUGCCUAGGAAUUUGAGAUAGAACAUCUCGGUGGUCAAUGAAAGUCAAACUGACUUGUCAGCCAGAAGUCCAUUGGCAUCCUCACCCCAAGUCCAACUGCACCAGCCACUUGUUGCUAGAAUUAACUUUGUAAAGUGAAGAAUUUAUCAUUACCACUAAAAUUAUUGGAAACCUCAUUGUCCGGAGGACACAUUCCUCAGGCAGAUUCAGCUCUAAGUAACCUGACCCCAGGAUUUGGCAUUUUCCAGGAUUUCUUGCAUUUGACCCUGUUUUUGUCCUCCAGUGUCUACCAUCUUUUCAUUUAGAGAAGUGUAAUUUACCUUGGGCAGUACUUAACCACCUCAGAGAACUGGCAACCCAUCAAACAGAAGCAAUCCCUUGUGUGUUGACACAGACUCUGGGUACAUGCCUCUAGUAUAGCAUAUGUCACCUGGUUUGCUCACUCCAUGUAUCUACCUCAACUUUCUUGGUUCAUGAAUUUUUAUUUUCUAAGGAACCAAGACAGCACCUGGGACAUGAUAAAUACUUAAUUGGAGAGGCACUCUUGGUCCUUUCUUCAUGUUGCCGUAUAGAAUUAAUACUGUAUCUUAAAACUUAAGUCAUUCUGCCUUGAUAUCAGUAAGUUCAUAUGUUUUCUAGUAGGUCAUAACCUCUCUUACCCUUUCCUCCCAGGUAUGUAGCACAGUGCUUUUGCACUGAGUAGACAUUCAACUCAAUUGCUUUGGAAGAGAAACAUAGAAAAUUGAAUUCUGCUUUCUGAAUAUCUUGAAUAAAUAACAAAUAUAAGUCUCAAUUUCUUCUAAGUUGGGGCUAAAUCCCUCUCAGUUUAUAAUUACUGUGCAGCAGAAGGUAACUAUUUGUAUUUAACAUUAAAAUUUUGUUUUGUGACCCGGAGUGUUUCUAAUUCUUCUUGGAGAAUUUUUGUUAAAAAAAAUUUAGUUACAAAAUAAACCAAGAGUGACAACCACAUCUUAAGAUUAGAACUGUAAAAUGAUUAGCAGUACAUCAAGCACACUACAACAAAGAAAACUAAAAAUGGCUCCUUUGUCCUUGGGUGAUAGUCAAAUUCUUUGACUUUUAAUAUAACCGAUUCUUAGCCACAGAGCCGUUAUAUCUAUGACUUAAGCUAGACUACAGAGAUGUGUUUCGUCAAACGGUUCCUUAAAAUUCUGUUUGGAUUUGUCCUCCAUCUCCAUUUACCAUGCCAGCAUCCUUAUUUGUGCACCCAAAAUUCAUUACAAAAAUGUUUUAGCUUGUUUCACGGACUCCAAUCUCCAUCCUGGUCAUCAAGUCUGAACUUCCUAAAACAUGUCACUUUACCUAAUACAAAUCAAAAGUUCUCAAUCACAUCUUACCUGCUCUGGUUGAUCUGGUAAAUACUGACCGUGCUUGUUUUUGCUGAUGUGUAUUUGCUUGUGUUUUCUGACUUCUUACUCCACUUUAGCAGUCACCCUGCAGCUUUAAAUCCUGAUCGUCCUCAAGUUAAACUUCAUUUCUGUAACUAUAAAAAACAAGCUGCUAAACCUAAGUAAUAGCUGUCUUUGUGAUGCAUUUAGUCUCCUCAAAAUUUAUUAUAGAAUGUUUUGUGUUAAUUUUUCAUACCCUAUGAAAAUUUUGUAAUACUUGUAUUUCCCAAUGAGCCAAAUGCAAUGCUGACAGUUUAAUAAAUGUUGAUUGAAUGAGAUGGAAAGAGCGUAGUACUUAUUAAAAGCAAAGCACUAUAUGGAAGCCCAUUUCAGAAACUAUUGGUUA